UUUAAAGCACCAUUUUAAAUAGAGCCUGCUCCCUGAUAUAUAUAUAUAUUAAAGAGCCGCAGUACCCUAACUGUGCAAAGGUAGCAAAAUAAUUUGUCUCCUAAUUAAAGACUUGAAUGAAUGGCCUGACGAAGAAAUAUCUAUCUCUACUAUUAAAAAAAAAUUAACAUGUAAGUCAAAAGGCUUAACAUAAACUAGCAAGACGACAAGACCCUAUAAAACUUUACCUUUUAAAAAAUCACUAUCACAGAUCUAACCAAAAUAAAGGGUUUCACUGGGGCAGUAUUUAUACAAUAUAUAACUAUACUAAUCUAAACAUAUAUAAAUGAAUUAAUAAACCUUAAUUAAAAUAUAAAAACAAGUUACUUUAGGGAUAACAGCAUAAUAUUCUUUAAGAGCCCUAAUCGACAAGAAUGAUUAUGACCUCGAUGUUGAAUUGGGGAACCUUCCAAAAGCAGAUAUUUGGACAGAAAGUCUGUUCGACUUUUAAACCCCC
rnacentral:rRNA from 1 species